GCGAGUGAGAGGGAAGAGCCCAAGAUUGAAAGCUGGCGUCUUCGGCGUCCGCAUUGUAAUCUCAAGAAGUGUUUUCCGCUUCGGACCAAGCCUAAGUCCCUUGGAAAAGGGCAUCAUAGAGGGUGAUAAUCCCGUACAUGGCUUGGAGCGCCCGAAGCUUUGUGAUACGCUUUCUAAGAGUCGAGUUGUUUGGGAAUGCAGCUCAAAAUGGGUGGUAAAUGCCAUCUAAGGCUAAAUAUUGGGGAGAGACCGAUAGCGAACAAGUACAGUGAUGGAAAGAUGAAAAGAACUUUGAAAAGAGAGUUAAACAGUACGUGAAAUUGCCAAAAGGGAAGGGUAGGAGGUCAGAGAUGCGGCCUGGGAUUCAGCCUUGCUUUUGCUUGGUGUUUUUCCCAGAUUGCAGGCCAACGUCGGUUUUGGGCACUGGAGAAGGGUAGGAGGAACGUGGCACCUCUCGGGGUGUGUUAUAGCCUCCUACUGGAUACAGCGACCGAGACCGAGGACAGCAGCGUACUCGCAAGAGCGGGCCUUCGGGCACCUUUACGCUUAGGGCGUUGGCAUAAUGGCCCUCUACCACCC
rnacentral:rRNA from 1 species